rnacentral:lncRNA from 1 species
UUUUUUUUUUUUUUUUUUUUUUUGUCUUUUUGCCAUUUCUUGGACCGCUCCCGCGGCAUAUGGGAGGUUCCCAGGCUAGGGGUCGAAUAGGAGCUGUAACCACCAGCCUAUGCCAGGGCCACAGCAACGCGGGAUCCAAGCCGCAUCUGCGACCUACACCACAGCUCACGGCAACGCCGCAUCGUUAACCCACUGAGCAAGGCCAGGGAUUGAACACGCAACCUCAUGGUUCCUAGUCGGAUUCGUUAACCACUGCGCCAUGACGGGAACUCCCUGAAGGAUAAUUUAAGGAGUGAAACCAGAAACCCACAGGGUAGAACCAAGAGCUAUGGAGAAACAUUCCCAAACAGCAGGACUAAAGUCCUAAUUAAGCAAGCAGCAGCAUGUGCCCAGCAGGAUUUGACAUUUGAUAUGAACAGGGGCUGCUGUGUGCCUCCUGUUUUCAGCCUUUGGGGAAGGGAGUGUCUAAAGUACCUGAACACUAUACUGUAUGCAGGAUAUAUGGAGAACAAAGAACUUGACCCUUUAGUUCAUAGAUGUUUAGAUUGAAAGGGAAAGUAAUUAAGGACCUAUACUCAAGGAACCACAUCCAAGCUGUCUUAUCAGCAUAGGGAUCUGAUUUGAUGACAAGAUCUUGGUCCUGUAGUCUAAGCCUGAUGCUGUAUAAAGAUGAGGUUGUGAAUCAAGUGCAUGUAGGAGGGAUGUGUGUUGUGGCUAGAAGGCAGACUGUAUUAUCCAAAACUGACUGCAACAAUAUUUCCUCUAACACCUGCUCUUUCAGAAACUUGCUACUCCUUCAUCAAGUGCUAUUCCUUCCCUGGAACAAGGGCAGGCCUUAGUUACUAAUUCACUCAUAGAAGGCAGUGAAAAGUAAUACAUUGUGACUUCUGAGACCAGGACAUAAAAGGGAUAGCCUGGCUGUCUCUUGUUACACUUACUCUUGGAACUUAGCCAAGAAACUGUAAGGAAGCCCAGACAUAAAAUGCCACAUGUGCCUGUUUCAGCCAACAGUCCCAGCUGAGGUCUCAGGUGCAGCCAUAUCAACUGCCAGACAUGUGAGUGAGGAAGCCUUUGAGAUGACUCUAGUCCCAGCCACUGCCUGACUACAACCUCACAAGGGAUGCAGACCACAACUGCCCGGCUGAGGCCAGGAAACCCCCAGAACUGAGUGAGACAAUAAAUACUUUACCCCAAGUUCAAGGUGCUUGUGUAGCUAUAGCAAACCAUAACAGUAUCUUUCUCAACUCAUGGAUUUAAACACUUUUGAUGGACUUUAAAACCAGCUAGGAUUAUUAUUAUCUUUUUGAAAACUCAAACUGUCCUAUUUUUGGCUAAUGGGUGCUACUUCAAAUUAUAUAUUAUUUUAUAUUACUUUAAUUAUAUGUGUGUAUAUAUACACAUAUAUGUAUUUUUUUUUUUAACUCUAGCUCUGUAUACAUCAGGCCAUCUGCAACUACCUGGUGGUAAGUGGAUUUUUUUCUCCUGUGUGGUAAAAUUCACUUGUAAAAUUCAGUAUUUUAAACCGUACAAUUCAGUGACAUCUGGAACAUCCACAUGCUAUACUAUCAUCACCACUAUCUAGAUCCAGAACAUUAUAUCACCCCAAAAAUAAAUUCCUGUACCAACUAAGCAGUCUCCUUAUUCUCCCUUCUCCUCAGCAGACACUAUUUACUUUGUGGCUCUCAGAUUUCCCUAUUCUGGAUCUAUUGUAUAAAUGGAAUUAUGCAAUAUGUGGCCUUCUGUACCUGGCUUUCACUUGGUAUAAUGUUUUCAAGGUUUAUCCAUGUUGCAUGUAUCAUUAUACAUGUACCAUGUACUUCAUUUCUUUUUACGGCUGAAAUAGUUUAUUGUAUAGAUAUACCAUAUUUUAUCUAUCUAUACAUUACUGAACUUUUUUUUUUGUCUUUUUGUCUUUUCCAGCGCCACCCCCACAGCAUAUGGAGGUUCCCAGGUCAGGGAUCCAAUUGGAGCUAUAGCUCCGGCCUAUGCCAGAGCCAGCGGCUACAGCCCUGAUUAGACCCCUAGCCUGGGAACCAGGGGCAGCCCUAAAAAAAAACAAAAGAAAAAAAAAAAAAAAAGAAAAGAAAAUCACACCAAAAAAAUCCCAUUAGGUUUGGCAUGCAAACAGUAUUAUUUCUCAGUAUAAACAUACUCUAUACUUAGGAGAAAAAGUGCUCUUCAAUAAUGACAAGGAAAAGGCACUAAAAAGACAGAUCAGUGCAUCUGCAGAUGACCUCUCCCAAAUUUGUAGUGUGGGAGAGGGCUAGGCUGAAAGCCCAGGUCCUCCAAACUCAAGGCCCACCUCAAAAUAGGCUGGGCCUGAUGAUGCCUUUGUCCUGGGACUAAGUGAAAGCAUGCUGUUAGGUCUGAGAAGUAAUCUGAGGAAGAACUAGAGCUCUGAAGCUCAUUUCUGGGAAAGAAAGAAAGAGCAGUUCAUUUCUGAUGCAUACCCCCAUAUAAGCAAUUUAAGGAUGAUUAAGUCCAGAUAUUAAGUAUAAGUUAGAUGUGGUGUUCCUGUUGUGGCUCAGCAGUAAUGAACCUAACUAGUAUACAUGAGGACACAGGUUCCAUCCCUGGCCCUGCUCAGUGGGUUAAGAAUCCUACGUUGCUACGACUGUGGCACAGGCUGGCAGCUGCAGCUCUGAUUAGAUCCCUAACCUGGGAACGUCCAUAUACCAUGGAUGUAGGCCUUAAAAAAAAAAAAGUUGGAUGUCAACUGCAAAGGUUGAUUUUAUAUGUUAACUUAGAAGGUGUUUCUGGACGAGAUCAACAUUUAAAUCAGUGAACUAUGUAUGAGUAAACUAGACUGCCAUCCACAACGUGUGUGGGCCUCAUCCAAGUAACUGAAGUCCUGAGUAGAACAAAAAGACCAGCCUCCCCAAGCAAGAGGGAAUUCUCCAGCAGAUUGCUUUCAAACUGGAACUGCACCGUCGGCUCUCUGGUGGCUCCACUUUGCCAGCCUUCACUGAAAUGGCACCACAGGCACUCCCACGUCUGUGCUUAUCAAGCCUGCCAGCCUCUAUUGCUAACAUUGGACCUGACAGCCUCCACAACUGCAUGAGCCAAUUCCUUGUAAUAAAUCUGUCUAUAUACACAUCUUAUCCAUUCUGUUUCUCUGAAGAACCCUCAAACAUUAGAGGUUCUAAUGGAGGUUUAAAGGAGGUCACAUCCACUUAUGGAAUUUCAGAAAAAUUCACAGAACCCAUUUAUUCUUUCACUUAAACAUGUCACAAAUAUUUACCAAGCAUCAGUUAGGAGCUGGGACUACUGUGAGUACUGAUGUGGAUACGGUCCCUUUAAAGAGCUGACAUUUUAAUGUAGGAAACACACAAUAAGUACAUAGAUGUAAGGAGGUGAUAAGGGAUACAAGCAAAACCAAGUAGGGUAAGGGCAAGUUCAGAGUGAGGCAGAGAAGGAGAGAGUGACCAGAGCUCUACUUCAGACAGGGAAGGGCUCUCAUAAGGGAAGAUGCUAUGUGAGAAAAUGUGUGAACGAAGGGAGUAAGCUAAGCAAAGAUGUGUGGGAAGACGUUGUGGUAAACAGCAAUGAAAAGGCAAUGAGAAGAACAGAAUAAGGGAGAGUAGAAAAAUGAGAUAUGCAAUGAGCCAGACCAUGAGGGGCCUGACAAGUGUGGUAGAGAGUAUAGAUUUUAUUCUGAUGGGACAUCACCGAAGAGCAUGGCAUACAUGUUCUGUAUGCUCUUGUAAAGGGAUUUGUUAACAGCUCAGUAAGGAACGGCCUCUACAAGGGUAAUAGUAAAAGCCAGAAGACAUUUAACAAGAUGGUUUAAUGAGUGGAAAGGAUUUUGACAGAUGGAAUACUCUGGAAAAAGCUGACAAAAUCAAGUAGAAAUUUGAGUGCAAAGUUUGAGAGGAGGCUAGACAGUCAUCUGCUUAGGCAUUAGUUCUGAGAACUGAUGUAAUCCCAAGUGAGAGCGUAUAUAAAGAAAGGGGACAACAAUAUCGCUACACGCUUAUCAGAAUGGCCAAAAGAGCUGAAAAUGUAUGUCCACAUAAAAACCUACACUGAAAUGUUUACUGAAUCUUUAUUUUUAACUGCCAAACAUUGGAACCACCAUUCACCUCAGCAGGUGAACAGAGGAAACCUUAAAUGAACUACUAAGUGAAAGAAGCCAAUCUGAAAAGGCGAUAAACUAUAUGAUUCAAUCUAUACAACAUUCUGAAAAAAACAAAACUAUGGAGAUAGUAAAAAGAAUGGUGGGUGCCAGGCGGAGGGGUAGGCAAGUGACAAACAGACGGAGCACAGAGGAUUUUUAGGACAGUGGAAAAUACUCUGUAUGAUACAAGAUGAUGGAUAAAUGAUUCGCCCAUGUUGUCAUAUAUUUGUCUUAAAGAAUGAAUGUGCGACAUCAAAGGUGAAUGCUGGGAUUCCCACCAUGGCACAGUAGGUUAAGGAUCGGUGUUGCAACAGCUCUGGAUGCAGCUGCAGCUCAGAUUCGAUCCCCGGCCUGGGAACUUCCACAUGCCAUGGGUGCAGCCAAAAAAAAGGUGGGAGGGGGAAUGCUAAUGUCAACUAUGGACAUCAGAGAAUCAUAUGGUAGUGUAUGUUCAUCGAUUGUAAAAAUUUAACACUCUACUGAGGGGUGUUAAUACUGGGAAGGCUAUACAUGUGUGGGGACACAGGAUAUGUGGUAAAUUCCCUCCAUUUUGCUAAAACUGCUCUAAAAAAAUAAGGUCUUAAUUUAAGAGAGAGAAAGAGCUAGGGAGAGGGGGAGAAGGGGGAAGAGAGUUCCUUGGGAUACUUGGGUUCCCAGGGGUACAAGAAAAAGCAGACUCAACAAAGGAAAAUGAAAAAGAUGAAGGGUAACCUGGGACCCAAGAUACUACAUGAGAAAAGGGAAAAGAGCGAAAAGAGUUUCACAAAAUAACACAUCAAACACCAUGGAAUGAACGAGAAGAUAAGAAUAAACCAAUGAAUUUUACAAGACAGAAAUUUUAGGAAGGUAAGAAAUCUUGGUUGUAGGCUAGAAAUGGAUUCAUAUUUUAGUAGUAAGUUUUGACCAGUUUUCUUCUAAUUUCCCAAAUGGAAUCCCAUUAAGUUUUUAGAAAAUAUUUUGAUAAAGGCAAGGAAGGAAAAAGUAAUUUUGGACUUUACUGCAGACAGUGACAAUGUAACCUGAGGGCAAAAUAAUGAAGAGAGUGCCAUGAAAGGAGGGCUCCAGAGACAAACUUCUACAGUCCCGCCCCAAAAGGCAGCUCUGCAUCCUGCCCCCUCCUAGCCCAACUGGGGCAUCACAACAGGGCCAGACUCUCAUAUGGCCGCCAUGAUCUCUGCCCCCUGCAGUUAAGCCCAUGAUCCGAGGUUGUAUGGCAAAAGGAAUAUCAGAGAUAUAAUUCAGGUUACUAAUCAGAUGACCUGAAUUUAAUCAGAAGGGGGUGAUCCAGGUGGGCCUGGCCUAAUCCUAUAAACCCUUUAAAUCUGGGUCUGAGGGGGAGUUCCCAUCGUGGCUCAGUGGAAAGAAAUCUAACUAGUAUCCAUGAGGACGCAGGUUCGAUGCCGGGCCUUGCUCAGUGGGUUAAGGAUCCAGUGUUACCAUGAUCUGUGGUGUAGGUUGCAGAUGCAGCUUGCUGCAGCUCCGAAUUAAACCCACUUAAACCCCGGAGGUGUGGGGUGGGAGGGAACAAAGACUUGAGCCCUACAACCACAACAAACUACAAUUCUGCCAACAAACUACAAGAGCUUGGAAGAGAACCCUUAGCUCCAAAUGAGAACCACAGUGGGGACAAUACCAUAGCAGAGAACCCCAUUCAUGUCCAGAAACGGUUUUGUUUUAAGCUGCUCAAUAUGUGGCAUUUGUUAUAUAGCAAU